UGCUGAGUCAGCACCUGGUACCAUCCGUGGUGAUUUUGCCAUUGACAUUGGCAGGUAAAUAUCGACCGAUGCUCUUUUAUCAUAUAUUUAUAUUUUUUUAAUUUUCUUGUUACAAAAAGCUACAUUGUUUAUCAUAUUGACUAUAUUUGUUUAAGUAUUUCGACUUCAUUUACUGGGAAAACCCUAUUAAGAUGAAUGAUCCACUAUCAUGGAUCUGUAUUGGGCUUGAUUUGUAACGGUUCUUGAUUUAUGGCUCUUUGGUUAUCAUAUUGGCUAUAUUCCUUAAAAUAUUUCGAUUUAUUUGCAGUUUUAAUAAUGAAGUAGUCUCUCUCCUUUAUUCCUGUUUGAUUCCACUAUCAUGGUUCUCUACUGGGCUUGAUUUGUACCGAUUCUUGAUUUAUUCCACUAUCGUUUACUGAGAAAAUCC
rnacentral:lncRNA from 1 species